ACGCUCGACACCUACGGGAGCAGCAGUCGGGAAUAUUGCGCAAUGGAGGAAACUCUGACGCAGUGACGCCGCGUAUAGGAAGAAGGUUUUCGGAUUGUAAACUAUUGUCGUUAGGGAAGAAAAAGGACAGUACCUAAGGAGGAAGCUCCGGCUAACUACGUACCAGCAGCCGCGGUAAUCUGAGCGGGCUGGCAAGGC
rnacentral:rRNA from 1 species